GUAACUCACUUGUAAGCAAUGGAAUGUGACAGAAGGCUGAGUCAUAAAAGGUAUGCCUCCUCCACUCUGUCCCCCGGAACCCUCGCACAGGCCCUGAGCCACCAUGCUGUGGAAAGACCCAUGAGGUGGCCGUUUUGUAAGGAAGCCCAAACAGUCUCACACAGAAAGAGCUCCCGAAGGAGCAUGUGAAAACACUCAGAGACAGAAAGGGGUGGAGACACUGCUCCCAACCGUUCCAGAUGCCUGAGUUUCCAGCUCUCACCACCACCCGAUGACGAAUACGUGAGUGACCCCAAGACAAAACCACCCAGCUGAACUUUUCUUGAAUUCAUGACCCACAGAAACUGUGAGAGAAAAUAAAAUGACUGUUGUUGAAACCACUCGGUUUUGGGGUGAUUGGCUGCUCAGCAAUGGUAACCCUAAAUGGCAAGACAACAGGUUGGCAUCAGGGCCAGAUGUUUAGUAAUGGAGGCUCAAGGGAUGGUGCCGGGCUGUCUUCCCCAAAUAGCCACUCGCACAAUGGCACACCCUCCACCCAUUCUAGCAUAUGGGCCUCCUCCUUCCUGGCCACUUGAACUGGCUCCCCUGCUACUCAAGAAUGGGCAACUUACACCAUCUUCCCCAGCCUCCCUAUACCCCAAACUUAGGGUGAUGGAUUAUACACAUGAACCGGUAUAUAUAACAAUCACCCACAAUACCCUGGCCGCUCCCUGCCUCCACCCACAUUCUGGUCCAGUGGGUUUAGAUGGGAACCAGGUAUGACUGAUUGCAGGUGGACAAAUCCAUCCCAGGAAGAUCAGGAAGCAGAAUCGAAUGUACCACUUUUGCUUGAAUCCAAUCUUCAGAUGCCUGGCGGCUCUUCCCGCUCACAACAGGGAUCUUUUCCUGGAUUAAUUCUGAAUGCAUAAGCUUUAGGUCCCCCAGGACAAUGUUUUCUCUGGAAAAUUUUUGUUGGAUAAAGACCACUGCCUGGUGCUAAGUGGGCAGAGGCAUGAAAACCCAGAACUGAGAGCAUCCAACGGCUCUCCCAGGACAUCUGGGACAUCUUUGGCUGAAAGCUAGGGAAAUCGGGUCACCAACUGCUCUGCUGGCCUGCUCUAUAUGGACCCCUCCCCUUCCUGACCUUCACAUGUCUAGCCUGUCCCUGCUGGUCAUUGUGCGAUUUUUGGAUCCUGACUCCAUCAAAUUUAAGCUUGCUGAAGAUAAAGCCCUGGACUCUUUUCUCUGUAUCCCCCUGCAAACCAUCACGUUCACGGUGCUCAUGGAGCUGCCGAUCAGGCACCCAAACGAAUGACCUCUGAGGGAGCCUUCCGCAGAGAAAUAGAACAUGUCCUUCCAAAAGCAGAGGAUUUGUCUGUAAGAUGAAAGCCAGAGCUCUUCGUGGGAAGCUCUACCAAAGGCCAGAAGAGAUGGGGCAAUUCUGGUAGAAAUAAAAAGUGAUAAACUCACUUGGGGACGACAGAGCGGACAGAGACUUCACAGGACUAGCAGAUGGUCCCUAAAAGGUCGCUGUGGUCUUUCCCUUCUCAGUGGGGGGCAGCUGUGUCUCAGGCCCAAACCUGGAGACACCUUUGACUCCUCUCUCUUACCUUGUAUCAACUGCCACCAAAUCCUCAACUUCAAAGUGUAUCCAGAAUAUGAUCACUUCUUACACCCCCACUGCCACAAGCUCUGCUGGUGCCACCAGGUGUCCAGACUCUUAGAGUCAUGUCACCUGGUCUCCCAGGCACAGUCUGGUCUUCCUUAAAAACCUUGUCUGGACAUGAGAGACUCCUAACUCUGGGAAACGAAC